rnacentral:rRNA from 1 species
GAGUUUGAUCCUGGCUCAGAACGAACGCUGGCGGCGUGCCUAACACAUGCAAGUCGAACGUGAUCCAGAGCUUGCUCUGGUGAAAGUGGCGCACGGGUGAGUAACGCGUGGAUAACCUACCCUGGUAUCCGGGAUAACAUUCCGAAAGGGGUGCUAAUACCGGAUAAGCCCACGGGCUCUUUGGAGCUUGCGGGAAAAGGUGGCCUCUAUUUAUAGGCUACUGUAUCAGGAUGGGUCCGCGUACCAUUAGCUAGUUGGCGGUGUAACGGACCACCAAGGCGACGAUGGUUAGCUGGUCUGAGAGGAUGAUCAGCCACACUGGGACUGAGACACGGUCCAGACUCCUACGGGAGGCAGCAGUGGGGAAUUUUGCGCAAUGGGGGAAACCCUGACGCAGCAACGCCGCGUGAGUGAUGAAGGCCUUUGGGUCGUAAAGCUCUGUCAGAGGGGAAGAAAUGAUAUAGUGCUAAUACCACUUUAUCUUGACGGUACCCUCAAAGGAAGCACCGGCCAACUCCGUGCCAGCAGCCGCGGUAAUAC